rnacentral:rRNA from 1 species
GAUGAACGCUGGCGGCGUGCUUAACACAUGCCAGUCGAACGAUGAAGCCCAGCUUGCUGGGUGGAUUAGUGGCGAACGGGCGAGUAACACGUGAGUAACCUGCCCUUAACUCUGGGAUAAGCCUGGGAAACUGGGUCUAAUACCGGAUAAGAGCGCCUACCGCAUGGUGGGUGUUGGAAAGAUUUAUCGGUUUUGGAUGGACUCGCGGCCUAUCAGCUUGUUGGUGAGGUAAUGGCUCACCAAGGCGACGACGGGUAGCCGGCCUGAGAGGGUGACCGGCCACACUGGGACUGAGACACGGCCCAGACUCCUACGGGAGGCAGCAGUGGGGAAUAUUGCACAAUGGGCGAAAGCCUGAUGCAGCGACGCCGCGUGAGGGAUGACGGCCUUCGGGUUGUAAACCUCUUUCAGUAGGGAAGAAGCGAAAGUGACGGUACCUGCAGAAGAAGCACCGGCUAACUACGUG